GACAGAAGGUGCAAGCGUUACUCGGAAUUACUGGGCGUAAAGCGUCUGUAGGUGAUUUCCCACGUCUGGUGCUAAAUUGCGGGGCUCAACCCCGCAUCUGUACUGGAAACGAGGAGAAUUGAGCCAUUCAGAGGUAUCUGGAAUGUCGUGUGUAGGGGUAAAAUCCGUAGAUACACGAUGGAACGCCAAAAGCGAAGGCAGGAUACUAGGAAUGUGCUGACACUCAGAGACGAAAGCGUGGGGAGCAAAGGGG
rnacentral:rRNA from 1 species